AUUGAACGCUGGCGGCAUGCCUUACACAUGCAAGUCGAACGGCAGCGGACCUUCGGGUGCCGGCGAGUGGCGAACGGGUGAGUAAUGCAUCGGAACGUGCCAUUGAGUGGGGGGAUAACGUAGCGAAAGUUGCGCUAAUACCGCAUAUUCUGUGAGCAGGAAAGCAGGGGACCGCAAGGCCUUGCGCUCUUUGAGCGGCCGAUGUCAGAUUAGCUAGUUGGUGAGGUAACGGCUUACCAAGGCGACGAUCUAUAGCGGGUCUGAGAGGAUGAUCCGCCACACUGGAACUGAGACACGGUCCAGACUCCUACGGGAGGCAGCAGUGGGGAAUUUUGGACAAUGGGGGCAACCCUGAUCCAGCCAUGCCGCGUGAGUGAAGAAGGCCUUCGGGUUGUAAA
rnacentral:rRNA from 1 species